CGAACGCUGGCGGCGUGCCUAACACAUGCAAGUCGUGCGAGAAAGUUUCCUUCGGGAAGCGAGUAGAGCGGCGCACGGGUGAGUAACACGUGGGUAAUCUGCCCUUGAGUUUGGGAUAACCCGGGGAAACCCGAGCUAAUACCAAAUACGGCCUUGAGGUCCUUGGACCUCUUGGAGAAAGGUGGCCUCUCCUUGGAAGCUACCUCUCGAGGAUGAGCCCGCGGCCCAUUAGCUUGUUGGUGAGGUAACGGCUCACCAAGGCUGUGAUGGGUAGCUGGUCUGAGAGGAUGAUCAGCCACACUGGAACUGAGACACGGUCCAGACUCCUACGGGAGGCAGCAGUGGGGAAUUUUGGGCAAUGGGGGAAACCCUGACCCAGCAACGCCGCGUGUGGGAUGAAGGCUCUCGGGUCGUAAACCACUGUCAGGAGGGAAGAACUGCAUCACGGGAAAUAUUCGUGGUGUUUGACGGUACCUCCAAAGGAAGGACCGGCUAACUCCGUG
rnacentral:rRNA from 1 species